AGAGUUUGAUCCUGGCUCAGAACGAACGCUGGCGGCAGGCUUACCACAUGCAAGUCGAACGCAUCCUUCGGGGUGAGUGGCAGACGGGUGAGUAACGCGUGGGAACGUGCCCUUCAGUUCGGAAUAACCCAGGGAAACUUGGGCUAAUACCGGAUACGUGCGAGAGCAGAAAGAUUUAUCGCUGAAGGAUCGGCCCGCGUCUGAUUAGCUAGUUGGUGAGGUAAUGGCUCACCAAGGCGACGAUCAGUAGCUGGUCUGAGAGGAUGAUCAGCCACAUUGGGACUGAGACACGGCCCAAACUCCUACGGGAGGCAGCAGUGGGGAAUAUUGGACAAUGGGCGCAAGCCUGAUCCAGCCAUGCCGCGUGAGUGAUGAAGGCCUUAGGGUUGUAAAGCUCUUUCGUCCGGGACGAUAAUGACGGUACCGGAAGAAGAAGCCCCGGCUAACUUCGUGCCAGCAGCCGCGGUAAUACGAAGGGGGCUAGCGUUGUUCGGAAUCACUGGGCGUAAAGGGCGCGUAGGCGGCUUGAUAAGUCGGGGGUGAAAGCCUGUGGCUCAACCACAGAAUUGCCUUCGAUACUGUCUGGCUUGAGACCGGAAGAGGUAAGUGGAACUGCGAGUGUAGAGGUGAAAUUCGUAGAUAUUCGCAAGAACACCAGUGGCGAAGGCGGCUUACUGGUCCGGUUCUGACGCUGAGGCGCGAAAGCGUGGGGAGCAAACAGGAUUAGAUACCCUAGUAGUCC
rnacentral:rRNA from 1 species